rnacentral:rRNA from 1 species
CAAUAGCGUAUAUUAAAGUUGUCGCGGUUAAAAAGCUCGUAGUUGGAUUUCUGCUGAGAACGACCGGUCCGCCCUUUGGGUGUGUAUCUGGCUCUUUCUUGGCAUCUUCUUGGUGAACGUUGCUGCACUUGACUGUGUGGAGCGCUACCCAGGACUUUUACUUUGAGGAAAUUAGAGUGUUUCAAGCAGGCAUACGCCUUGAAUACAUUAGCAUGGAAUAAUAAGAUAGGACCUCGGUUCUAUUUUGUUGGUUUCUAGAGCUGAGGUAAUGAUUAAUAGGGAUAGUUGGGGGCAUUCGUAUUUAACUGUCAGAGGCGAAAUUCUUGGAUUUGUUAAAGACGGACUACUGCGAAAGCAUUUGCCAAGGAUGUUUUCAUUGA